rnacentral:rRNA from 1 species
UGGGGAAUAUUGGACAAUGGGCGCAAGCCUGAUCCAGCCAUGCCGCGUGAGUGAUGAAGGCCCUAGGGUUGUAAAGCUCUUUCACCGGUGAAGAUAAUGACGGUAACCGGAGAAGAAGCCCCGGCUAACUUCGUGCCAGCAGCCGCGGUAAUACGAAGGGGGCUAGCGUUGUUCGGAUUUACUGGGCGUAAAGCGCGCGUAGGCGGACUUUUAAGUCAGGGGUGAAAUCCCGGGGCUCAACCCCGGAACUGCCUUUGAUACUGGAAGUCUUGAGUAUGGUAGAGGUGAGUGGAAUUCCGAGUGUAGAGGUGAAAUUCGUAGAUAUUCGGAGGAACACCAGUGGCGAAGGCGGCUCACUGGACCAUUACUGACGCUGAGGUGCGAAAGCGUGGGGAGCAAACAGG